GACGAACGCUGGCGGCGUGCCUAAUACAUGCAAGUCGAGCGGACCAAAGGGAGCUUGCUCCUGGAGGUUAGCGGCGAACGGGUGAGUAACACGUGGGCAACCUGCCUGUAAGACUGGGAUAACAUCGAGAAAUCGGUGCUAAUACCGGAUAAUAAAAGAACUGCAUGGUUCUUUUUGAAAGAUGGUUUCGGCUAUCACUUACAGAUGGGCCGCGGCGCAUUAGCUAGUUGGUGAGGUAACGGCUCACCAAGGCGACGAUGCGUAGCCGACCUGAGAGGGUGAUCGGCCACACUGGGACUGAGACACGGCCCAGACUCCUACGGGAGGCAGCAGUAGGGAAUCUUCCGCAAUGGACGAAAGUCUGACGGAGCAACGCCGCGUGAGUGAUGAAGGUUUUCGGAUCGUAAAACUCUGUUGUUAGGGAAGAACAAGUGCCGUUCGAAAGGGCGGCACCUUGACGGUACCUAACGAGAAAGCCACGGCUAACUACGUGCCAGCAGCCGCGGUAAAGU
rnacentral:rRNA from 1 species